CCCUCCGUAAAACAUUCAGUAUGCCUUCGGAAUAUACAAAUAUUAACGGUCGGUAUGAGCUAAUGAUGGCCUUGAACUUGAACGUUUCGGUUCCCGGUUUGACGACGUCCUCAUACGGUACCAGUUGAAAAUGUCGUCAGCGUCUAUAGACGACGUUUCUGGAGUUUUGCAGCGUAUGAACUCUGUGAUGACUACACAGUAUUCAUCUUUAAAAGAUAAACAAACAGCAGCAAUUACAGAAUGUCAAAAGAGGAAUGAUGUGCUAGUAGUUUUGCCAACAGGAUACGGCAAAACCGUCAUAAUACAGGCA
rnacentral:lncRNA from 1 species